GGAACUUCCUGCGAAAGACUUUCGCAGGAAAUCCGCGUCUUCUUCUACCCCCAACAAUAUAAGAACCAAAUCAAAAAAGGGUUUUGCCGAUCAUCCUCUGUUCCGUUCCAGCAAUUCAGGUGUUUGUUUCCUCUGCAGUCUACCGUGCGCAGUUUGAGAGUUAUGGCAGGAAAAUACGUCAUUGGAUCCAUGAUGGUAGCCACUGCCAUUGGAUUUUCGUUGGAUGCAUUGAUCUCUGACAAGAAGUUGUUUGGAGGUACCACCCCAAACACUGUGGCCUCCAAGGAGUGGUGGGAAGAGACAGAUAAGAAGUUUCAGGCGUGGCCCCGCACGGCGGGCCCUCCAGUCGUGAUGAACCCCAUCAGCCGCCAGAAUUUUAUACUCAAGUCCCGUUCUGAAUCUUGAAGGUGUGGUUGCAUUCACCUAUGAGUUUCGAUUUAGUGACCUUGAUUAGCUUUAGCUCUUUUAAGUCAUCUGAUAUUCUUUUUGAGUUCUUUGAUGUUCUUCGAGGAUGGAACUUCUUUUCCUUCAAUUGAGUUGAUUGAUAUGCAGAGAGGAAGACUUUCUGUUUCUGAAUAAGAUGUUCGCAGCAUACACUUAUCAUGAUCUGAAUAAAUCUUGGCCUUUUAAUCUGCUCA